AAGCUGGAGAUGAGGUUUGGGCAGCAGUCCCACCAUGGAGGCAGGGUACUUUUGCAGAAUUCGUUGUUGCAAGUGCUAACGAGGUAUCCUUUAAGCCAAAGUCACUUAGUCAUACAGAAGCUGCUUCCUUACCUUAUGCUGCCCUCACAGCAUGGGCUGCCCUUGUUAACAGCUGCGGUUUGAAAAAGGAAACCUGUCCAGGAAAACGUGUUUUAAUCAUUGGAGCAUCUGGAGGGGUUGGCACAGCGGCCACUCAGGUA